AGAGUUUGAUCCUGGCUCAGGACGAACGCUGGCGGCGUGCUUAACACAUGCAAGUCGAACGAUGAAGCCCUUCGGGGUGGAUUAGUGGCGAACGGGUGAGUAACACGUGGGCAAUCUGCCCUUCACUCUGGGACAAGCCCUGGAAACGGGGUCUAAUACCGGAUAACACUCCUGCCCGCAUGGGUGGGGGUUAAAAGCUCCGGCGGUGAAGGAUGAGCCCGCGGCCUAUCAGCUUGUUGGUGAGGUAGUGGCUCACCAAGGCGACGACGGGUAGCCGGCCUGAGAGGGCGACCGGCCACACUGGGACUGAGACACGGCCCAGACUCCUACGGGAGGCAGCAGUGGGGAAUAUUGCACAAUGGGCGAAAGCCUGAUGCAGCGACGCCGCGUGAGGGAUGACGGCCUUCGGGUUGUAAACCUCUUUCAGCAGGGAAGAAGCGAAAGUGACGGUACCUGCAGAAGAAGCGCCGGCUAACUACGUGCCAGCAGCCGCGGUAAU
rnacentral:rRNA from 1 species